rnacentral:lncRNA from 1 species
CAAAGAUGCAUACACUUGCCAAACAACCCAGCCUCUACUCUUUCCUAAUCUUCUGAAGAAACUUCUAGACCGGUAUGAUGCUUGCUUCUUGUGGGGACGCGUUUCCUCAUUGGCCUGUGAGCUCAUUGAACAUACUUGAAGACCUUGAUAACUAGGCCCAUCACUGCUAUGUAUGAGACUUCAUUUUGGGAGACAGAGCCUGUAAGCAAGAAGAGUAAAAGGUCUGCUUAGCAAAGAAUCUACUGGGAAGCUUUUCCAAAGGAUGCUCUAGCUUAUCGUGUUACUUGCUGUGUGAUGAUUUGGUUGCAGAAGCACAGCCUUCCUUUUGACUGCUGGAAAACAACAAACCUGCGGGAGGAAAUGCCAUUACAGGAAGCUCAAGGCCAGGCCUAUGUAUG